rnacentral:rRNA from 1 species
AAUGUUCUCCCCGCAAGGUCGGUAUACAGGUGGUGCAUGGUUGUCGUCAGCUCGUGUCGUGAGAUGUUGGGUUAAGUCCCGCAACGAGCGCAACCCUCGUCCUAUGUUGCCAGCACGUAAUGGUGGGAACUCAUGGGAGACUGCCGGGGUCAACUCGGAGGAAGGUGGGGAUGACGUCAAAUCAUCAUGCCCCUUAUGUCUUGGGCUUCACGCAUGCUACAAUGGCCGAUACAAAGGGCAGCGAUACCGUGAGGUGGAGCGAAUCCCAAAAAGUCGGUCUCAGUUCGGAUUGAGGUCUGCAACUCGACCUCAUGAAGUUGGAGUCGCUAGUAAUCGUAGAUCAGCAACGCUACGGUGAAUACGUUCCCGGGCCUUGUACACACCGCCCGUCAAGUCAUGAAAGUCGGUAACACCCGAAGCCA